rnacentral:rRNA from 1 species
CCCCUAGAUGUUCUGGGCCGCACGCGCGCUACACUGACGAAUGCAACGAGCUUAUAACCUUGGCCGAAAGGUCUGGGUAAUCUCCAAAUUUCGUCGUGAUGGGGAUAGAUUAUUGCAAUUAUUAAUCUUCAACGAGGAAUGCCUAGUAAGCGCAAGUCAUCAGCUUGCGUUGAUUACGUCCCUGCCCUUUGUACACACCGCCCGUCGCUCCUACCGAUUGAAUGGUCCGGUGAAGCGUUCGGACCGUGGCCUUUGGACGGUUCGCCGUCUGUUGGCUGCGGGAAGUUCGUUAAACCUUAUCAUUUAGAGGAAGGAGAAGUCGUANCA